GUGUAACGUAGAAGAAAAACUUUUCAGUUGUCAACUAGCGUCUCCUUGUACAUCCUGAUGGUGAGAGUGAUGUCCCCUGUCCACAGGUGUAAUAUCGCCACGAUUAAUUAAUAUUAAGCCUUAUAUUAAUCUGAUACCAUUAAUGUAGCUGACUUACAUCUACGCUAAUAUAGGCCAAUGGUAAUAUCUUGCAUCCACUAUAUGUUUUAUAGCUACUAUGGAACACUGAAUAAAAUAUCUUUAACUGCACUCUUUCAUAUCAUUUGAAGUAUAAUUUAGCUUUUUAAACGAAAAAAAUAAGUAUGAGGAAAUACUUUAAUUACAAGAGGUUUGAGUAGCAAGCAAGAAGAUAAAAACAAACUUCAGGCGACAGUGAUCGACAUCUUAGCAGGUUUUUGUUAACCUGUCAUUUUGCAAUGAUUUGCAGAAACAUUUAUCUGUGCAGCCAAUCUGCAGUAAUUUGCAUUGAAGUGAGUCCAUCCUCAUAGGAGAAGUUGACAGUCAUCACCACCAUGGGAAACACGGAGCAAUGUGGAACAUUUUUUACUUGCAACUAAAUUCUGAAGUCUUACAAAAGUGAGAAAACUUAAUUAGAUAUUAGAACUGCUGGAACAAAGAUUCCUUGUCAUUGCACUUUUAAUUGUUUUUAGAUCGCAAGGGAAGGGUGGAAAAAGAUUCCCUAAUACAUCCAUGGUAUAUAUUUCGAUCUGUCAUUGUCUUCACUCAGCUUAAAACACCAUAACUGCUGUAUAUCGUAUGUCGAAUUUAUAUAUGAUACUUUCAUGCAGAUAUGCAAUAUUAUAGCUGAAAUUUCAUUAAACAGUAGUUAAGAAACAAGAACUGAAUAAACUUACAGAUAAAUAUAGGUAAUAUACAUAAAAAUUUAUUUAUCUUCAUCUUUUAUGCCGUCUGUUGCCAAUCUUUUAUAUAUGCACAAUUUAUCUUACCAUUAAUAUAUUUAAGUCUCUAUAAAUAGAAUAAAACAAACUUUACAAAGCUAAUCAGUUUAAUUUUGUGUUUCUUGAAGUUGCAGUGUAAAACACUAUAUGGCGCUGAACUCAUCAUUUCAAACUUUUUUAAUUUCUGGUCCUUAGAAGUUAACCAUUUCCUGCAAGGAGAAUGUUGGACAAGAAACAGGAUUAGUUGCAGGGUGGAAUGCUGCUGAGCUAAGACUAUGUCACUGCCGGCUCCAUAAAGUUGGACCACAUAUCCAUGGAUUAUGCAGGAAAUCAUCUACAUAUUGGGCAAUCCACCCAAGAGCACCUACAGCAUGAGGAAGACCCUACAAGAACAGAAAAUUUGCAACAUCUGAAUAUACAAACAGUUCUAUGGUCCACAUCUGCAAAGUACAGCUGCUAUGAUUGAGAAUUUGCAUUCCACAUAACAUUGCAUAAUGGAGCAGAAUAAUGUUAAGAAUUA